UAGCCCCUCGUUAUUCUCAACCCUUCCCCAUCCUCGUGACAUGCUGCAUUUACUGUCAGCGCCUCCCCUCGCCCGGAUACUCUCGGCACACAACUUUUAAGAUCACAGUGCGUGCAUCGCCAUAUUUAUAAGCCUUUUCAGAGUCCGACUCCGUCUGUCUUUCCCGGCUCAGUUUCAUAAAUUCAUUUUAAUGAAGCCAGACAUCAUCUCGGAAGGGGAAAAAAAGAGAGGAAUUAAUGGGUUUUGUAUACAAGGAAAAGAUAACAAUAAAACGUAGCAAGGAAAUGGAACAUGAUUGGAUUAUUUCCUCCAAAUGCAUUCUCAGAGAGGGGUAAGAUAUUGCAGCCUCUAAUAUAAACACGAAUUCAGCAAGCAAGCUUGAACUGCUGGGUGUUUCGCUGCGUAUGGGGGGGAGAACAAAGGUGGCAAACAGCUUUGAGGCAGUGGAGAGGGUAUGACAGCUCAAACAUUGUCUCGCCUGCCGAAAGUUUUUUCAUCCAACCCACUGCAUUCUUAAAGGUGCAGGAAAAAAAACAAGGCUCAGGGAAGCGUCUGACACGGGUAGUGAGCACAUCAGGGUCGCACAGAGACUCACAAUUCAGUGCUUAUCAAAUUUCCCUCUGGUCCGGCUUGAAAGCAAUGUACACCUAGCGUAGCGUGAGUUAUUCUUAGCAUGCGGUAGCCUUCCUCCCCGGAUCAAAAGACUUGUCUCCAAACCCCGGACAGUGGGACAGAGGGAAGCCUCAAGGCCAUGCCACCCUCAAGCUGUUUGGUCGAUGGGAAUCAGAUGCUGCGGUUUUCUCAAUGGAGUCUGCGCCGUUAUCAUCCGUGCACAAUGAAUAUGAGCUGUCACAGAGAGGAUUAUUUCAGCGGAGAAAAGGGAGGAUAUCUGAGUGAAGGUUUUUUUCACUGGGUGCUCACAAAAGAUACGGGAAAGAAAAAAGCGAAAGCCUAACGACUCUAAAGAGUUGAAUCAUCCAGUCGAUAUUCUGGGAUUUCACCUGGGGGGUCCUCCGCCGUUGUGUUUUGCACUACUGACUCACAGUGUGUGUAUGGAACGCUGCUAAGUUUAGACUUGUGUAUGUUUUCUCCACAAACGAAUCUAGUUCGUAAUUGGCAGAUGCAAGGGGUGAAAUAUUGACUGUGCUCGUGCGCGCGUGUGCAAACGGUAUCUUGCGCGCGGGUGUCUGUGCGUGUGUGUCUCGGUGUGUUUCGCUUUGGCUGCCAUCCUGGUUUCAUCUCAGUGUGCUACCAAGGAGACAUAAGCCACUUCCAUCUGCCUCGUGUUCCAAGUUUCUUUGUGUUCCUAAUAAAAGACAGGAAGUUGAAUUUAAAUCAAAUUUUUUCUAUUUUUUUGUUUUUAUCACCACACCGGUCUAUAAUUAAAGGAUAAAGGUGGUGUAAGGAGAGAACUUCUUUCUCAACUUCGCUGACUGACAUGAAUCAUGCUUGAACAGAACAUGAAAAAAACAAACACACUGUGUCGACCGACCGCGGCAUAGAUGUGAAUCAAAUAAGACACAACAUGAAUCGUUUUGAUUUCUAAUAUUUGUGUGCAGCCAAAGAUUUCCUUUUUCUCCAUUUGCUGUGUUGAUGUGCUUUGUAUGUUUGUUGCUGUUGUAACUUCAGUGCUUGUUGCAUUUGUCCUGCACGGGUGGUCGGCAGACAAUUGUGUGAGGUCCGACGUCCAGUGAGGAGAGACAACAAACCCGAGGUCUUGUCGAGUACCGCUGCAUAACCGCUGUGCACCAAAAAUAGGUCUCAAGUGAUGUCACUUGGGUCGGCGUUGGUAGGGGCUUGAGACUACAAGUUCGAAAAUGAAACCAAUCUGGGAGUGUGGAGCUACCCCAUGUUUGUAAAAAACAAACAAACAAAAAACCCUGUAAAAGUGCCCUCUUGGAUGCCCCUAUGGUGGAGCCCCACAACCUCACCAACUCAGAUACAGAAUUUGAAAGUACACUUAUAAAAUGAAGCUCAAAGACCGGCAGGCACAUGAAGGAAGAAUCGAUCUUGUGUCGGCCAUAUUGCUUCCCUUCAUAUGAUCACACAGUAAUCAUUAGAAGGGACUACCUCACUGUAUAUGGCUUCAUCCACUAUGAAACAGCAAGGCACUCUGGAAGCUUUUGAACAAAGCUGAUGGACCUCUGGUAUAGCCUGCGGAGUGAUAUAUGGAAGACAGGUUACCAACCGGUUUGUGAUAAAGACGCUGGUCACA